rnacentral:tRNA from 1 species
GGCUCGGUAGCUUAGUUGGUAUAGCAUUCGUCUAGCAUACAAGAGUCCUGGGUUCGAAUCCCAGCCGAGCAC